UCUCCGUUGGUGAACCAGCGGAGGGAUCAUUACCGAGUUUCCAACUCCCAAACCCCCUGUGAACCUAUACCUACACCGUUGCUUCGGCGGGCCCCGGCCCCUGCGAUGCCCCCUCCAGGGGGGCGGAGCCGGGGGACGUGGCGCCCGCCGGGGGACCAAAACUACUGAAUGAUUGAACCGUGGUACUCUGAUUUCUUCCAAAAACAAAUGAAUCAAAACUUUCAACAACGGAUCUCUUGGUUCUG
rnacentral:misc_RNA from 1 species